rnacentral:rRNA from 1 species
GACGAACGCUGGCGGCGUGCCUAAUACAUGCAAGUAGAACGCACAGUUUAUACCGUAGCUUGCUACACCAUAAACUGUGAGUUGCGAACGGGUGAGUAACGCGUAGGUAACCUGCCUGGUAGCGGGGGAUAACUAUUGGAAACGAUAGCUAAUACCGCAUAAUAUUGAUUAUUGCAUGAUAAUUGAUUGAAAGGUGCUAUUGCAUCACUACCAGAUGGACCUGCGUUGUAUUAGCUAGUAGGUGAGGUAACGGCUCACCUAGGCGACGAUACAUAGCCGACCUGAGAGGGUGCUCGGCCACCCUGGGCCUGAGACACGGCCCAGACUCCUACGGGAGGCAGCAGUAGGGAAUCUUCGGCAAUGGACGAAAGUCUGACCGAGCAACGCCGCGUGAGUGAAGAAGGUUUUCGGAUCGUAAAGCUCUGUUGUAAGAGAAGAACGGGUGUGAGAGCGGAAAGUUCACACUGUGACGGUAGCUUACCAGAAAGGGACGGCUAACUACGUG